GAUGAACGCUGGCGGCGUGCCUAAUACAUGCCAGUCGAGCGAACAGACGAGGAGCUUGCUCCUCUGACGUUAGCGGCGGACGGGUGAGUAACACGUGGAUAACCUACCUAUAAGACUGGGAUAACUUCGGGAAACCGGAGCUAAUACCGGAUAAUAUAUUGAACCGCAUGGUUCAAUAGUGAAAGACGGUUUUGCUGUCACUUAUAGAUGGAUCCACGCCGCAUUAGCUAGUUGGUAAGGUAACGGCUUACCAAGGCGACGAUGCGUAGCCGACCUGAGAGGGUGAUCGGCCACACUGGAACUGAGACACGGUCCAGACUCCUACGGGAGGCAGCAGUAGGGAAUCUUCCGCAAUGGGCGAAAGCCUGACGGAGCAACGCCGCGUGAGUGAUGAAGGUCUUCGGAUCGUAAAACUCUGUUAUUAGGGAAGAACAAAUGUGUAAGUAACUAUGCACGUCUUGACGGUACCUAAUCAGAAAGCCACGGCUAACUACGUG
rnacentral:rRNA from 1 species